CGGUACGCACUGGCGUCGUUGAUUUCUCCCUUCUGAUGAACCAUGAUGUCAUUAAUUUGGUGUCGUGGGGAGUCAGGACUGUUACUUUGAAAAAAUUAGAGUGUUUAAAGCAGGCAAACGCUUGAAUACAUUAGCAUGGAAUAAUGAAAUAGGACGUUCGAACCUAUUUUGUUGGUUUCUAGGUACAACGUAAUGAUUAAUAGGGAUAGUUGGGGGCAUUAGUAUUCAAUUGUCAGAGGUGAAAUUCUUGGAUUUAUUGAAGACUAACUACUGCGAAAGCAUUUGCCAAGGAUGUUUUCAUUAAUCAAGAACGAAAGUUAGGAGAUCGAAGACGAUCAGAUACCGUCGUAGUCUUAACCAUAAACUAUGCCGACUAGGGAUCGGAUGAG
rnacentral:rRNA from 1 species